rnacentral:rRNA from 1 species
GGCAGCGUGCAUAACACAUGCAAGUCGAACGGUAGUAUUAUCUUCGGAUAAUAUGAGAGUGGCGAACGGGUGAGUAACACGUAAGAAUCUACCUUUAGGACGGGGAUAACUUCUGGAAACGGAUGCUAAUACCCGAUAUGCUGUGGAGUGAAAUGAAUUUCGCCUAAAGAUGAUCUUGCGUCUGAUUAGCUAGAUAGGGUGGUAAUGGCGCCCUAUGGCGACGAUCAGUAGCUGGUCUGAGAGGAUGGACAGCCACAUUGGGACUGAGACACGGCCCAAACUCCUACGGGAGGCAGCAGUGGGGAAUUUUCCGCAAUGGGCGAAAGCCUGACGGAGCGACGCUGCGUGAAGGAUGACGGCCUGAGGGUUGUAAACUUCUUUUCUCGAAGAAGAAUCAAUGACGGUAUUCGAGGAAUAAGCAUCGGCUAACUCUGUGCCAGCAGCCGCGGUAAGACAGAGGAUGCAAGUGUUAUUCGGAUUGAUUGGGCGUAAAGCGUCUGUAGGCGGUUUAGAAAGUCUUUUGUGAAAUACUUCAGCUCAACUGGGGCUCCGCAAAAGAAACUUCUAGACUUGAGGGAAGUAGAGGUACAGGGAA